CCUACGGGUGGCAGCAGUGGGGAAUAUUGGACAAUGGGGGCAACCCUGAUCCAGCCAUGCCGCGUGUGUGAAGAAGGCCCUCGGGUUGUAAAGCACUUUCAGUGAGGAAGAACGCCUGGUGGUUAAUACCCAUCAGGAAAGACAUCACUCACAGAAGAAGCACCGGCUAACUCCGUGCCAGCAGCCGCGGUAAUACGGAGGGUGCGAGCGUUAAUCGGAAUUACUGGGCGUAAAGCGCGCGUAGGUGGCUUGAUAAGCCGGUUGUUAAAGCCCCGGGCUCAACCUGGGAACGGCAUCCGGAACUGUCAAGCUAGAGUGCAGGAGAGGAAGGUAGAAUUCCCGGUGUAGCGGUGAAAUGCGUAGAGAUCGGGAGGAAUACCAGUGGCGAAGGCGGCCUUCUGGACUGACACUGACACUGAGGUGCGAAAGCGUGGGUAGCAAACAGGAUUAGAUACCCCGGUAGUC
rnacentral:rRNA from 1 species